ACAUGCUAUACAUUGAAUGUGUCCUGUUUAGGUGUGAAUUUUUGUGGAAUUAAUUGAAUUGAUUUGGUAUGCUUUUGAGUGAAAUAGUUCUGUUUGGUCUUUUGAAGUUGCAAAUUGCAUGAUUGAUGUUAAAUUGUGCAUGAAAUGAUAAUGAUGAUUGAUAUGAGCAUGGGACCAAUUGCAUUUGAUUUUGAUUUGUUUUAAUGUGAUUUUGGUUGGUUGGCACUUGCUGUUUAGAGCUUUUUAUCCCCUUUGGACCCUAGGCUUGGCCUAGUGGUCUAGUUUCUCACAUUUGGUUUGGAUUUUCAGGUUAAAAGUGCAAAAGGCUUAAGGAGAGAAAUGGAAAUUGAGAAUUGAGUUUGGUUG
rnacentral:lncRNA from 1 species